AUAACAGAUUUUUAAAAAUUAUUUCCAUAAAUUGACAUUCUCUGUUUUAUGCAUGAAACCAGUAUAUCUCACUUUACACAAUAUAUAUGUUUCUGGAAAAUUGUAUUUAAAUCUUGUUUUGCUAAAUCAAGUAAUUUUAGAUGUGCCAGUUCUACAAAAUGAGAUGGAAAUUUUGAAAAUGAAAAUAUUCAUUUAAUACAAAUAAUUUAUCUUAUUUUAUUUCUUUUUCUCUGUUGUUACCUUGAGAAAACAUAGGGUGUGUUCAUUAACUGCAGUCUAGAUGUACUUUCAUUUUCUUGUUCUAACUGUAGUGUACAUUGCAGAUAUUUUAGUACAACAUCUUUUCAUCACAGAAAUGAUAUCUUCAGGGAAAAGACUUUGAGAAAGUGCCUGAAGUAACAGAACACAUAUUUUCUUCUGAUAUCUGGCUAAAGAAUGAAAUUUGGCAGAAAUAUUUAAUGAAGAGGAAUCUGAACAUAGCAAUUGAGAAAGGAGAAAGACUGGGAGAAGACUCCAGAUGUUGUAAAGCAAAGAGAGGAUGAGGCACAGGAAGCAGCUCUUAUUAUUUCUGUUGCACAGCUCAGAGAACUCCAAGCAAUUGAUUCUAUCCUAAGGACAUAUUUUUUCAAUUUGAGAUGUAAUUAAUUUGUUUUCCAGUAAAAUAGAUAUUAGUAGAUCUAUAACAUACAGGAAACAAUCGAAAAUAGAGAUAAGUGGUAAUAAUACCUCAUUUCAUAAGACAUCUUUUUCAGAAAACUAUUCUUCAGUAUGUGGUGCAUUGGCUUUCUAGGAAAGAAUGGGAGUGAGAACCCUGCUGAAAUGAAUAAUGGCCUUGGGGAGAGGGAAAGAGAAGCAAGAAAGGAGCAGUUAACAGGAAAAUGAGGUCAUAUGGAAAGAAAGAAAUAGAUCAGGGCAUUUUUAGGAGGUAAUAUCAAUUGGGUUUAGUGACUGUAUUUAGAGGAUGGGAGAGGAGGUAUCAUCUAGGGUUUUGGCUUGGACCACAGGUAGAUCUUGUUAAGGCUGUAUGAAACAGAAAAUCCAGGAGCUGACACAGGUUUGUGGGGGAAAUGAUACAAAUAUAAAUCAUACAAGGAUACGAACCCUGUAGAUUUUACAACUUUGAGCUCUAUCCUUCUUAGGCCUCCUCUUCUAAGCAGCAUAAGCUACUGCUCCCUACAUGUUGCCUGUUCAUAAAGUCUGAGGCAGGGGAAUCGCUUGAACUCAGGAGGCGGAGGUUGCAGUGAGCCGAGAUGGUGCCAUUGCACUCCAGCCUGGCGACAGAGUGAGACUCCAUCUUAAAAAUAUAAAAAAAGAAAAGAAAACAAACAAACAAACAAAACAAAGAACUUUAUGCACCUUCUGGAAUAACAAAAUGCAAAUGUAGUAUUACCUACCAGGAUAGAAAUUGGAGGCUAGAAUAUGUUGGGUAGGGUAGAGAGACUAGAGGGAAUGAUUUAGCAAUAAAAUAGGUUUAAAUAUCUUCUCACAUGCCCAGACUUAAUUAGCUUUGUAUUAUUCCUGUUAGUAAGCCGGGAAUUAGUACUAGGUGAUAAGCAAGGAUGCGCAGGGCCUUGUGAGGAAAAAAGUUACUGUAGCAGUUCUGGUUGCUUACCCUUUGCACGUCUCCAGGGGAACCAUCUUUGACCUUGGCCAACCCCUGGAUUACAAUCCUGGGAGUGUUCCUUAUGUUAGUGAUGAUGAUUUUGUUGUAUACACCUGGAGCAUUGGAUCAUUCCAUACUGGCUCACCAAGUUGUGUUGCACAAACACCAAGAUUGAUAAAUAGGCACCUGGUUUUAUUAUUGGGCCCCUGAGUUUUGGUUGCCAUAGCCAAUUCCAUAGCAAAGUAUGCAUACAUGAACAGCCUCCCACAGAAGCCUUAGACCCUGAGGCUCAAGCGGGCUUCUGUGGGCAGAGACAUUCCACAGGUGUCUACAGUUUGCUGAGAGAGAGAAUUCCUGUGUAGCUGCAGACAAAGGACAACAGAAUCCUAUGUUGGACCUCUCUGGACUCCACUGAUACAUCUUUUCCUGUUGCUUUUGCUCUGUAUCCUUUGCUGUCAUAAAUCUUAGCCCUGUGUUAAUAUAUAGCCUGCUAUUGAGUCUUGUGAGGCCUCUGGGAUCACCAAAGGAAACAACCAUAUACCUAGUACUGAAGAGAUUUAAAGCCCAAUUUGUCCAUCUGAGUCUUGAUAGGAUUCACUGAAAAAGAAUAAUCAACAUAUGUAUCUGCAGUGUCAACGUUUAAAUGAAAUCAAGGCUUUAGUCUUUGUCCACCAGACAUUUGUAGUCUUUACAGGGACAUGACACAUGUUAGGGAAAUGCUUAUGAGCAUAAGUAUAAAUAAAAGCAAAUUGGCAAUGAUGGCAGAAUUAAAGAGAGAUUAAAAUUGGUAAAAGUCAAGCAAGGCUACUGAAAGAUGGUAGGUAUUUAAGAAGAGAUAUAGAGCUGCAUUAUCAAAUGAUAGCCAUAAUUUUUCCCCAUAUGUACUUUAGCUGUAUGUAAAAACUAAAAUAAAAAACAUUUUUCUUGGAUUUUAUCUGAUGUAUUCCAAGCUCAA